rnacentral:rRNA from 1 species
CGGGAAGGUUAGUUGUGGACGAGGUUUUAAUACGGGAGUUCUCCUUCUUACUAUGGUUUCAAAAACAGUAGUAGGCUAGACCCUCUGGGUCUAGGCCAAAGGGGGCUUCAUUUACGGAGGACUUUCUUCUCCCCGUGCGGUUAACGUUGACGGGUGCUCGUGAAUCGAGAGUGCUGUUGCGGAAGUUUUUUCUGUGGCGCGGUUCUUACAGCAGUGACAGGAUCCCAAAGUAGGCUCUUUGGCACCUUACUUUUUUCUACCCCGUUUGGGUUUGCUGCAGAGAUCCUUCUGCGCCGGCCGUCCUCGGUCGGUUGGUCCCUUAAUAGGGUUAGGCUUAGGGGUGGAGGGCAAGGCGGGGUGGGCCGCUGGCCGUUCGUCGUGUCGGUAUAAGCAAUGCUGUUCUCACGUGCUACGUUCAUAACCUCCUUCUUCGUCGAGUUGCGACAACCAGUGACUCCGUGGUUGAGCGGCCACCUAGCGGCUGGUAGACUCGGCCGUCGGAUGGGCGGGACGGCGCGGUGGCCUGUACUUCCGGUUGGAGCCCCAGCAGCGGAGCCUAGGUUCAGGGAGGCGGGAUCUAGCCCUCCUCGUCGCGGUCGGGACGGUGGCGGCAGCUAUCCUGCGGCCGGUUGGCGGUGUGGCGGCAUCAAAUCUAGACCCAACAGUACUUGGUCUAGCCGCGGCGGCGUCGGGUCUAGCCUCAGUGUGAGAGCUCGGUCCCUCGGGGCGCAGUGGGAAACUGGGCACUCUUCCUCCUCACGGAGGCUGCGACGGCCGCGUGCGUGUCCGAUUCGGGCCGCGGAUGGUGGCCGCCACUGUCUCCCCUCCCUCUCUUUCCUCGCCACUGGUCUGCCUCCCCUCGUGAUCCAUCUAUUAAAGAGAGGAGAAAGAGGGGGGUGACCAGUACCGCGGCCGCUUUUAGGUGGAGGCUGUCGGUAUCUCUCGUCGUCGUCGUGGCCCGUAGUCCUCCCGAGCACUGGGAGGGGCAUGGGCUCGAGCUAAACGAAUAGUCUCGAACUUCUACGACCGGCAUUGCGUCCGUCCUCCUACGGCGGCCCGCGGCCGGUAGGAAACGGAGCGGCUGCAUAAACUAGACGCCUUCGACACUCGAGGGCCAUCAGCCAUGAUGAAUGACAACGAUGACGAGGCGGUGUGGGGGGAGGAGACGUUAGGGACGUUACAAUGUGUUUUUUUAGAUGCUCAUCAUGUUACGAAUUUUAAUCAACUGACACCUACCACAAAUUCUAAAAAAAACGACAGCAACAUAUCAAACAUCGACGCACGUCUUAUGUUGGUUUUAUUUCAAUCACAUGGCAGUCCACAUCGUGUUUCCCCUUUUUCCCUUCGUCUUGGACCCCGUAGGCUCAGAUCUUGAACCGUAAGUCACUUUACUUGGUUUGACUGACUGUAACGUGCUCGACUAUUCACUCACGAGUGGUACAGUUCUCUCUUUUUAUGUAAAAAAAGCUAUUUAUUGUGUAGUCAAAACAAACACCCUUAGUUUUAGGUAGCUGCCAAGUUUAGUCUUUAUAUCUAUGCGUGUAGUAGUAGAUCUAAGUGGCCACCAAUCUGCAUAGCGGGAAACAUAAUAUAAUGUAAGUCCGUUUUGUAUGUUAUACGUGUAUUAAACUCCUUCCCGCUUUUUCUAUGUAAGUCUUUCCUACGUAGGAAGAGAGUAUGGUGGCGUUGUUCCCCUGUUUCUGUAGACUUAAUCCUUAUCAUCAUUAUUAUGAAUCUGUACAGGCGGUGAGCAUUUAGAAGAAUUUCAAGGUGGUCGUUCUUCGAGCAUUUGGAAGAAAUUUCAAGGUGGACGUUCCUUUUUUUUUGUCUUUUAUUGAACUCACGCGUUUGACAAAUAGGAUUUGGUAGUAAGGUUUGUUCGUUCCGUCCCUUCCUACCUCUCGUUCAGUGUCUAUUCAAAUUUUGUCUUGAAAUAAUACUCAUAGAGCCAGGAACAUGACUUUUAUAUGCCCCUGACAUUAUAGACUGGCAUUUGUCGUCAUUUAUAAUUUCUUCUUGUACUCCCGUAUCAUUCGAUGUCAUGGAACGUAGGAGAGGCGAGGUCGAGGAAGUCACACGACAGUAGAGGUCUUUAGUCCCUGAAUGAGUAAUCAAAGUUUAAGAACUCCCUACCUUCCACGUCGUUAGGCGAACCCUUGAAGGUGUAGAGGAACGUGUUGGUUUCACAGUCCGCUCCUUUGGGAACCCGUCUCUUGCUGUACCAAGCUGGAAAUAUGGGACUGUUGAGGUUAUGGUGUUCUGUCCCUUCGAAGAGGUCCUAGCCGUAGCCCAGAUAAAGUUACUGUAGUCGAAGAUCUAUCUCUACGGCUUCCGAGACGCCCUUCACUAAUGAGAGACCUUCGAAUAGUUCGUGUGGUUUUGACCGCUCUACUUAUAGUUGGUCUACGUGUUCAGUUGGUAUUCCAGACCUCUAGAAACACAGGGUGUGAGGAACCACUUCUUUUACGUGACGAGUCCUUUCUGGGCACUGACACCUCACGCUUCCUGCUUGACCACCCCUUUCUGGUCAAGAAACCUUUAUAACCACCUGCCAUUCGUAGCCGGUCGUUACGAACAACUUAGACGUGCCUGAAGAAACAGUGGUGCUUUAACGACAUGCCUGCUGUCAGCGGCCGGCUUGACACCUGCUGCCCUCCUCACCUGCCACUACGAGUGAAAACGAUUAACGUACCUACCGAACUACGCGACGUAGCUAAGGUUUAGCAGGUGUUACACAGCCGACACAUCGUCGCAACAACAGUGGUAGCACCAGCAGUAUUGUGUAAAAGGACGACGUCGUCAGUAUGACCACGGCUGGUGCAGAUAAGCAGCGACCACGACGCAAGUUUACAUGGCCCUUAUAUGCUCCUAGUCAAAAUAUAGACUGGUGGACAAAAAGGAGAAAGUGUGCACCUAAACUGAGAUCCCUGUUGACAUUUUUACAGGCUCCCCUGGUUUUUUCCUUUGUUUGCACAAUGACUGAUAGACCGAACAAGUAGAGUGAGAUGGUCAGUAAGUAAACGG